ensembl:lncRNA
AUGAGCCUCCAUAGCUUAACUCUGUCCAACCUUACAAUUCCAUCUGAUCAGAGUAUACAAUGUAAUGGAUUCCAACAUUAUCAUGAACUUAUUGAUCAAUCAAUAAAGCCUAGAUCAAGAAAGAAAGAAAGAAAGAAAGAAAGAAAGAAAGAAAGAAAGAAAGAAAGAAAGAAAGAAAGAAAGAAAGAAAGAAAGAAAGAGAAAGAAGGAAGGAAGGAAGGAAGGAAGGAAGAAAGAAAGAAAGAAAGAAAGAAAGAAAGAAAGAAAGAAAGAAAGAAAGAAAGAAAGAAAGAAAGAAAGAAAGAAAGAAAGAAAGAAAGAAAGAAAGAAAGAAAGAAAGAAAGAAAGAAAGAAAGAAAGAAAGAAAGAAAGAAAGAAAGAGAAAAUGACAAGGAAAGCACAAAUCAUAGUUUAAAGGAACAACAAAAGAAUUUGCCCUUUAGUAGUGUUUUGAAUAGUAAGACACAAGUAUUUCCCAAAGCAAAGGGCCAGAGGGGACAUAUUAGCAACCCUAAAUUUCUGUCAUAUUCCAACUUCUUGGGAGGGCUUCAACUCACAUGUAAAGCUACAUGUCUGGAGUAGCUAUUUAGCUCUGCAGAGGAAGCAGAGAUCACUGGAGGGGAAAGUUUACUUCUUUAUCUAUGGACUCAAAAAUGAAUCUGUUUUAAUAUCCACCACUUUAAAAGGAAGAGUCCAAAUGUACUUUGAAGGAUACCAUUCUUCACUUUAUUUCCUCAUUUAAUUAUUCUCCACUAUAAGCAAUAUGUUUCUUGUUUUACAACAUGACAGAAAAC